rnacentral:rRNA from 1 species
GACGAACGCUGGCGGCGUCCUUAACACAUGCAAGUCGAGCGGUAAGGCCCUUUCGGGGGUACACGAGCGGCGAACGGGUGAGUAACACGUGGGUGACCUGCCCUCAGCUCUGGGAUAAGCCCGGGAAACUGGGUCUAAUACCGGAUAUGACUCCACGGUGCAUGUCGUGGGGUGGAAAGCCUUGUGCGGCUAAGGAUGGGCCCGCGGCCUAUCAGCUUGUUGGUGGGGUGAUGGCCUACCAAGGCGACGACGGGUAGCCGGCCUGAGAGGGCGACCGGCCACACUGGGACUGAGACACGGCCCAGACUCCUACGGGAGGCAGCAGUGGGGAAUCUUGCGCAAUGGGCGAAAGCCUGACGCAGCGACGCCGCGUGA